GAGGUCCGACAACAGUGCGCCUGAGCUUUCUGAAGCAACGCUCUUUAGUAAAAAAAGGAUCAUUAUGCCGAUUCAGCAAAAAGCUAAAGAAGAUAAAUGUCACACAAAGUUAAUUUUGGCAGGCUGCUGAAUAAAAUGCAAUGUGCGCUACAAGUUCUAUACCAGACACUUCAGUUGACAUUGCCAUUAAUAAUGAGGUAAACGUCUCUGUGCUGAACAUAGGUGUACAAUUCACAUACAGAAUUCCAAGCUUUUCAGUAAUUGAAGUUGAACUGCACUGAGGCAAGGAACAUUUCAGUUUGAACAUUUAGAUGGAUCUGUACGUGUGUAUGAUGGAUUCUUGAGAUCAGACCAGAGCUUUCCAGACCCUUCUAGACCGUCUACCACCCCUUUUGCUAUCACUAUUAAAGACCAUUGUUUUGUUGAUGUUGAAGAGUUUUGUAAAGUUGUGUAUGUAUACGACACCUAAAGGCUUUUGACAAGCUUGGUUUUCUAAUCGUAUGAGAUUGGCUACUUAAUGAUGGAAACUGUGACGAUGAUACUGAUAGUAGUGUGUGUGACAGAAUAUCUAGUGAAGAGUUUGCAUCCCAAGAAGAAGACACUUAAGAGAGCUAUGUUCCAUUUAAAUGCAUAGGUGUCACUCGUGAUACGGAGUAUCAGAACAUUCUCCAUGAAGUUAAGGAUAUAAUUAAAAGUGGUGACAUUGUUCCAGUGAAGAUGAAACCUGAGCCAGAGAAUAUUGUUGAUCCUGAGGCAAUUUCUUUUCAGUGCCUUCAUAAUGGGGUUUGGCGGACAAUUGGUUAUGUUGUUUCUGAAAUUUGUGAGGAAGUACACACAGCUAUCAAACAAGGGGACAUAUUAGUAGUCGAGUUCGUGUGGGUAAAGUUCAAGCUUUGGAAGAAACAGCCUGGCUAUUAUGCUUGUAUUGGAGUCACUCGGAGAGGAGAAUGGUCGAUAAAGGUUAAAAGAUGUUGUAGCACCUUUACUUGAACUGCAACUUGCAAUAAUUGUAUGGUCAUCAUCUGUCACAGUUGUUAAUUUUGAACGUAUGACAUUGGAUAAUUAACGCAUGCAAAUGACGUAUGAAUACAAGGUAAAGAAUACAUAAUAGCAAUAAUACGUCCUCGAAAGUUAGACAUACGAGUGUUCGGAGAUGUAAUUGGGAAUAUUAGGUGGUGGCGGCAGCUCUUCUGGUGGAUUGUGAAAAAUUGCUGUUUUGUGUGAUGGAAGGGAGGACUUCCCACUUGAAAACGUAGAAGUGGCCAUCGAUUCAGCUCUCGGGACUCUAGGCAUUUUUCUAGGUGAUUGUGUGGAUGGAAUGUCAAAAUCAGGUCUGUCACCCUCAUAGAAGCGGUCGUGGUUGGAGGUAUAAUAAAAAUACGGCAGAUCGGGGUCAUUCCGUUUCUCAUACUGUUAUAGGUCUCUUCGUGCCUAUUGCUUUCGCCAAGUUGUACAUCACAUUGGUUCCACCACCACGAUCCAAUUGCACCAUAGCCUCAAGAGAGAGAAUUAGAUAAUCGGAAGGAUAAACUCUUUCAUAAUAAAGAAGAGCAUAUUUCUGGAACAGCUUAGUCACCACACCGAUCUGUUCUUCUCGACAGAGCUCUGAUAUUGUCUGACCAGUGCCUGAUAAAACACAAUUGUUCAUCAUUGGGCAAGAAGAGUUUGUUUUAUUGGUCAAAUUGUAUUCAGCCUUGGCAUUGUCAGGAGAGGAGAAACGGUUUUGCAGCUCCCUCUGAACAGUGUUUCGACAGGCAUCAGCUAGCUACAGUAGAUGAGAUAGAAAAUUCACCAUUAUUUUUAUGAUACUAACAUCUAGUAGCAGUUUACCUGUGCGUACUGUUUCCAUGUUUACAAAAAGAAAUUCAGAGGCAUAUUUCCAAAA